UGGGGAAUAUUGCGCAAUGGGGGAAACCCUGACGCAGCAACGCCGCGUGAAGGAUGAAGGCCUUCGGGUCGUAAACUUCUAUCGAUGGGGACGAAUAAAUGACGGUACCCAAGUAAGAAGCCCCGGCUAACUACGUGCCAGCAGCCGCGGUAAAACGUAGGGGGCAAGCGUUAUCCGGAAUUACUGGGUGUAAAGGGUGAGUAGGCGGCGUAUAAAGUCAUGUGUGAAAUUCCACAGCUCAACUGGGGAACUGCACAAGAAACUUAUAUGCUAGAGUACAGGAGAGGUAAGCGGAAUUCCUAGUGUAGCGGUGAAAUGCGUAGAUAUUAGGAAGAACACCAGUGGCGAAGGCGGCUUACUGGACUGAAACUGACGCUGAGUCACGAAAGCGUGGGGAGCGAACA
rnacentral:rRNA from 1 species